GUGCACCAGUCGAGAAUCCUUCGCAAUGCGCGAAAGCGCGAUGAGGGGACUCCGAGUGCCUAUGCUCAGCAUAGGCUGUUCACCGGUGUAAAAGCCGGUGGAGGAAGGGUGGACAAGACUGGUGCCAGCCGCCGCGGUAAUACCAGCGCCCCAAGUGGUGAUCGAUAUUAUUGGGGUCUAAAACGUCCGUAGCCGGCCCGGUAAAUCUCCGGGUAAAUCGUCCAGCUUAACUGGUCGAAUUCUGGGGAGACUGCCGGGGCUUGGGACCGGGAGAGGUCGGAGGUACUCCAGGGGUAGGGGUGAAAUCCUGUAAUCCCUGGGGGACCACCGGUGGCGAAGGCGUCCGACUAGAACGGGUCCGACGGUAAGGGCGAAGGCUAGGGGAGCAAACGGGGAUUAGAUACCCCUGUAGU
rnacentral:rRNA from 1 species